rnacentral:rRNA from 1 species
UGGCUCAGGACGAACGCUGGCGGCGUGCCUAAUACAUGCAAGUCGAACGCUUCCUACCGGUGCUUGGCACCGGGAAAGAAGAGUGGCGGACGGGUGAGUAACACGUGGGUAACCUACCUACAAGCGGGGGAUAACAUUCGGAAACGGAUGCUAAUACCGCAUAGAUCUUUUUGUCUCCUGGCAGAAAGAAGAAAGACGGUUUCGGCUGUCACUUGUAGAUGGACCCGCGGCGCAUUAGUUAGUUGGUGAGGUAAUGGCUCACCAAGACGAUGAUGCGUAGCCGACCUGAGAGGGUGAUCGGCCACACUGGGACUGAGACACGGCCCAGACUCCUACGGGAGGCAGCAGUAGGGAAUCUUCCGCAAUGGACGAAAGUCUGACGGAGCAACGCCGCGUGAGUGAAGAAAAGGUUUUCGGAUCGUAAAACUCUGUUGUUAGAGAAGAACAAGGAUGAGAGUAACUGCUCGUCCCUUGACGGUAUCUAACCAGAAAGCCAUGGCUAGCUACGUGCCAGCCGCCGC